rnacentral:misc_RNA from 1 species
AUUCACCUCUAUUGCAGAACUAAACACACGAUAUUUUGUGAUCAAGUUUGCUUUAAAGUGUCAUUGGUAGCACGCAGACUACAAAGUUGUUUUAAGUGUUAAUUUAUAUGCAGUAUGGAAGAACUUUAGACCAACUGCAGGAGCUGAGCCUGUUAAAAUCAACACUGGUCCAUUCUCCAUUUAUAAUCAUCGAUAAGCACUAGAAAGGGACAGCAAGCUCAGUAAACAGUACAGUACUGAGACAUCGUGCAGCAAAGUGGAGUCUGAGUUCUUUCCCUUGUGUUUCUUUUCUCUCCUCAAAUGCCUGUAUAGUUAACAAAAUGAGAACUUCGGUAAACAAAGCACAUCGAACGGCCAGACACAAUACGUACAGCACUGGGCAGGCAGCCUUCGAUGGGCACAUGUUUGUUCAAAUGGAACCCAUUUAUAUGCUCCCUAUCAAUCAGAUAGGAAAACCAAAAUCGCCAACCAUACUUUAGAUAUCAUCUCACGUUUGAGAAUAUGCUCGAGUAUGUUCAAUGGUAGGGCAAACAGAUAAAGGAAAUUUCAUAACAUUAAUCCAUAGUCAUACAUGCUUCAAGCAAUUACAAAUUCCCAAUCUGAUAUCACCUUAGAGGACCCAAAUUCACUGAAUGAGCAGUUUGUGAAAGUCUCCAACGACCUUGAGGCAAAUAAUUUGACAGUAGGCCUUUGCAUCUCUCACUGACCACCUCAAACAACAAAUGGAGUUUUCCUCAGUUUGUCAAUUUUCUUUGCCAAAAGAACAGCAGUAUCCUUUUUGCCCUUGUCAAGAAGAGCUUGUUUCAGAUUACUAAACAGAGCUGCUGAAGGCCGGAUGCCCACAUCCAACAUCUCCUCAAAGUAUUUACAAGCCAUAUCCAGUUUAUUUUCAUGGCACAAACUGUUAAUUAAUGUAGAGAACAUGUGCAUCCCAGGAAGGAUCCCCUUGGCCUUCAUCUGAUCCCAAAUAUUUAUUGCCCUAUCCACUCUAUCCAUGUUGCAAAACAUCCUAACUAUAAUCUCAUAGGUACUCACAGUUGGCUCACAACCCUCCUCGCUGCUCAUUUUCUCAAAAACUGAAAAAGCCUCAGUUGUCUUCUGAGCCUUUAUCAAAUGAUGAAGAAUUAUAUCAUAAGUUCUUGCAUUCGGACCAAUCCCACAUUUUCUCAUCUCAUCAACCAUCCUAUAAGUAUCAUCCAUCCUCAUUGACCAACAAUAAGCUCCCACAACAGCAUUGUAAGUAGGUGCCUCCGGAACAAAACCUCUAGCCUUUGAUAGCUCAAAAAACUCAAGAGCUUCACUCAACCUCUUCUCAGAACCUAAUCCAUUAAUCAAAGUACAAAAAAUGUGAGGAUUAGGCGGGCAAUUCUUUGCUUCCAUCUCGUUGAAUAAGUCAAUUGCAAUAUCAUACUUCUUAGCCUUACAAUAUGCAUUGAUGAGAAUACCGUAAGUUAUAACAUCAGGUUCAAAACCAUCAUCCUUCAUUUCCCUAUAAACCUCAUCCAGCUUCAACAAGUUUUUCUCUUGACCCCACCCUUCAAGCAAUAUCGUGUAAGACUUGAUAUCAGGCACGAAUCUUCUAUUUUUCAUUUUAUCAAACACGUCUUGUGCGCUCUGCACCUGCCUUGACUUGCUCAG